rnacentral:lncRNA from 1 species
AAUGCAUGCUUUUUUUCUGGAAGUGGAAAGAGAAUGGGUGAGUGGAGGCAGCCCUUGGUACCUGGCUGCCUGGAGGGCAGAGAAGGUCCACAAAGGCUGGAGCAGCUGGUAUUUUCGCUGGAAGGCUGCUUCCAGGACAGCCCUGUGAUGCUUCCCAGCCACUCUUGUCUGCCUUUCCUGCCUUGUGAAUAUUAAAAGAAAAAAAUUUUAAUUGAAUGAAAGAUUCUUCAAAUUCUGUACUGCUUUACAAUUUUCUAAUGCCUUGUGAGUAUUUCCUACAAUUUUCAAAUGCCUCAUGAGUAUUUCCUGGAGGCUGGGAGGCCUCGUCCGAGCUGCUGCUCCCACGGUCUCCCCCCUGUUGAAUGCAUGACAUGACUCAGCAGUUUAUAGGCUGGGAAAUGUCAACUUUUUAAAAAGAGCUUGAGGGAAAAAGAAAAAUCCACGCUUGAGCCUGGGAGGUGCUAAAAAUAGGAACUUCCUAGCUUCCUGAAGAGCAGAUCAAUGAAUAAAUAGGCCAUAAACAAAUGUGGUUAUUUCUGCCAGGAGUUUUCUUUCUGCUGUCCCUGGAACUACAAUACACACAAAUACAAACUGAUAGGUUUUUAAUUAAUUGAAAAAACAUUUCUGGGAUUCCAUCUUUGUGUGGGGCAGUGGAUGCAACAGGCAGAUUCCUGAGAGGGUGGAGGUAACCUGAAGCAAAUCUUCCUUGGAUGUUAGGACAGGGAUGAAGGUCAGGGCCAUUCUGAGAACCUCAUCUUCUGCUCCAGAAAAUUCCCCAGAUCCCUUGGGAGUCACAGCCUCUAGUGUCCCGUUUGGGCUGCUCCAUCCGUCCACAUUUGGACUUGAGGUUGUGUAUGCUGGGGUGGGCUGGGAGACGGUGGGGGUUGGGGGGAUUUAACGUGGGCCUGGCUGGUGCAGGCGGCAGGCCUGAGAAGUCCUCUGGGCCCCGUCCUCCAGUGGCCUCUGUAAACGUGGGUCUUGUGUUGAGUGUCCUAGACCCCCAUCGGCAUCCCUCAGCAGCUUGCAGAAUCUCAGGCUGGGUCUCAGACCUCUGGGACCCACCUUUACACAAGCUCCCUGGAGGAUUAAAGUCUGAGAAGACUUGCCCUAGAACUCCAAAUCUGUGACUGACAAAUGCUCUCUGGCCUUAAACCUCCCUCCACAUUUUGGAGAAGCUGGAGAAGCUGUCUUUUUUGCCUCCUUUCUUCUAUUUCUUCCUUCCAACACAGCAGCGCCUAUGAGACUUCCUGCAGUACAGGCCCGGGUCCUGUCAGAACUGUGAAGGGUGGAGACUUUGCCUACUUCUAGGCUCACCAGGUAGCCUGUCAGUUUCGUGGAGGCUUCCAGAUGACAGAGGCCAGAUGACAAAGACUCCUGGAUUGGGAGGGAACAGAGGACUUUAUUACUCAUAGCACAGCAAGUAAGGUGAGAUUUUAAAAUAUAGUGUAUGAAUAGAAAAUCUGAGGCAGAGUAAAGGCCAACAGAUGGGGAAACCACUGCCACUUAAAAGAUGGUUCAUUGCUCACAGUUUCCAAGAGGAAGGGGCACGGCACACCAUGGGGGCCACACAGGGAAGCACCAGGGUCUUUCAGAGUGGAGGGAGUGUGGAGCCUUUGCUCCACAGGAAGGAAAGAGCGGGAGCAAGGCAGGGUAGCAGGCUUAGGACUGGCUGGUCUGAAUAAUUUCCAUGGGCUCUGGGGGUAGUUAUCUGGUGAUUAGGGCAAGGCACAGUGACCUGGUGUGUGAGGGCCCCCUAAAAGAGGUGAUUGAGGGUGUAGGCUCUGGAUUGGUUGGUUUGUAGUUGAAGAGCAUGUUCACAGGAGAGUCACUCACCAUGUCUAGGAAUUAGCUCUACCAGGAGGGGGCAGUAUCUCCAGGAUCAGCAAGGCCCCAGGUGUCAAAGCAUCUGAAUCCUGAAAACACAAGACAUGGUUAGUACUAGCUUGGUGUUUGCACUGGUUCCUCUCGUCCCCAAACCCCACAGGGGAUAAGACAGAGGGCCCAGGUGGAUGCUGCCCUGCAGUGGGUUUGUACCACAGCCAGGGACCUGGGCUCUGGGAACCUGCAUGUUUUAUAUCAGCAUGUUUUAUAAUCACCCAGCCUGUGCACCAGGGGUGACAUUACUUUUAUUUUCCUGGGCAAUAACUAAGCCACACUCCUCUGCUGGGAGACACCUACUUCUCCUUCUUCUCUUCCUCCUCUUCCUUCCCCAAGGCAGUUUGCUAUACAAACAUCUUUGACAGAUAGUCUGGAACAAAAGGGAGUUCCCUGGUGGUGCAGUGGGUUAAGGAUCCAGUGUUGUCACUGCUGUGGUGCAGGCUCGAUCCCUGGCCUGGGAACUUCUACAUGCUGCAGGUGUGGUUAAAAAUAAAAAUUAAAAUUAAAAAGUCAGUUAGUGGUUAGUGCCUCUGCUCACAAGCUGCAGAUAUGUGAGAAAUGCCCACUACCAGCUUAUACGCUCACUCUCAUUCCACUCAUUUCUUGUCAAGAAAUACCCACUGAGCACCUACUGUCUACAUCACACUUUCUUACUGUUGGAAACAUUGUUAAGAAGCUUGUCUCUGUUCUCAGGGGUUUCCAUCCAGUGAAGGAAGAUGAGGAAAGAGAGGAGUGGACAGGAGACCUAGAUCAUUCAGAGUGAUGUGAUCUGUGAAGGAAAUGGGGCAGGUGAUGUGACAGGGUGGAGGGGGUACAAUCCAGGCUGGGUGCUGGGGCAGUACUUGCUGGUGACUGCCAGCUUUCCUGAAAUCCAGUGAUUCUCAGUGUGGUCCCCAGACCUAUGGAAUCAGAAGCUCUGGGGGCAAGGCCAGAGAUCUGAAGUUUUAUGUGCCCUCCAGGGAUUCUGAUGGGAUUCAAGUUGAGAACCACUGGCAUAAGUCUGUCUCUAUGCAGUGGCCUGGUGAUGUUUUAAAGUCUUCCUCAAGCCCGCUGGCCUGGCCUGCCCCUCCUCUGGCUCCUGCUCGCCCUUCAGGCCACUUUCUUGGUGGGCCGGUCCUUGCCGCUGGCUGUGCUCCAAGGACUACGCCUUAGCCUCAGCCUCCCACUAUCACUCUCCUCCCAGGGAUGCUCCCCCACUGUGGCCAGACCUCUCCCACCUUUUGGGCCAAAGCCCAAAUAUUUCUCUGAGAGCUCCACCCCCACCUGGUCCACCAUGGACCCUUCCAGACACUCUUCGCCUCAUCGGCCUGUUCUCUGCAUGUAACAUGCUGGGCUUCUCACCCGCCUAGUUUACUUUCCAAGUACUGUCUUAUUGGUCAUCUCUCACAUGGCAAGCUAGAUGUUUCCAGUAUGGAAUUCAGCCCCUGAGACUUGUCAAAGAAAUAAAGGAAUGAUGUGAACAGUUCAGAUACUGAGUCUCCAGGUGAACACCACGCACAUGGGUGAGUUGAGGGUCAGGACCAAAUUCUGCCCAUCACCUGAAUGUUUUAAAUAAAGUUUUAUUGACACAGUCACAGCCUCUCAUUCACAUCCUCUAUGGUGGCUUUCCUGCAGUGGCUCUGACAAAAAUGGCUUUGGAAGCCAAAAAUUUUUGCUAUCUUUACAUAAAAAGUUCGCUGCUCCCAUCCUGGACCUCAGAGUCCUCCUGGGAAGGAAGAGUGGGGGCUGGGAGAGCAAGGAUACCCACUCCUUUCCCACCUGGGCAUCUAGGGUACCCCAUCACUUCCACCCACAUUGCACAGACCUCACCCCCCGCCUGCAAAUUUGCUGGGAAAUGUAGCACCUGGCAGGAAAGCGCAGUCCAGCAGCAUCCAUGCUCCAUGGAUGAGGAUGUGUGAGUGUUGGAGUCACCCCUCCUCAUUGCAUUUCUGGCCCCUCCUUCCAAGACUAAAGGCACAGCAGUUCUGAGACCUCAGACGACCUCACCCGCAAAGCGAGCUGGAUGCAUAUCCACACCCACCUCGGGCUGUAGAGAUGAAGAUGCAGAGACUCAGCAGUGAAGGGGGUCAAGAGCAAGCGCAGCUCCUCCCACUGCAGAGGAGAAUUCUCCACGUGGCUGGGAACCUCUGUGGGGAAGUGCACCAAGAGGCAGGUGUAUCCAUGCGGCUGGCUGCCACAUGACAGAAGUGCACCAAGAAGCAGGUGUAUCCAUGCGGCUGGCUGCCACAUGACAGGUACAAUCAGCCCUCUGUAUACAUGGGUUCCACAUUCAUGGAUUCAACCAAACUUGAAUCAAAAAUAUUUUUUAAAAAAUUCCAGAAUGUUCCAAAAGGCAAAACUUGAAUUUUCUGUAUACCAGCAGCUAUUUAUAUAGCAUUUACAUUAUGUUAAGUAUUAUAGGUAAUCUAGAAAUGACUUAAAGUAUAAAGGAGAAUGUAUAUAGGUUAUAUGCAAAUAUCCUAUCAUUUUAUAUGAAGGACUUGAACAUCCUCUGAUAUUGGUCUUUGCAGUGGGUCCUACAGCUAAUCCCUGUAGAUGCUGAGGGAUGACUGUACCCCAUGUGGCAGGCCGCACCUUGGUGUGGCCAUACCUACCAACACCGUGCCAGUUCAGAGAUCCCUGUAGAACAGACUGUUUCCCAGCUUCAGUACGAAAAGCCCCGGGAAGACCCCUGAUUGAGCUAGUUUCAGUCACAUGACCCAUGCUGGACCAAUCACUGUGUCCAGAGGUACAGUUUAUGGUAUGGUCAUGUGAUUACCAUGUGAUCUGGGUCAUGUAACAGGUAAAGAGAGGGAGGUGAGCAUGCUAUGAUUGGCAGCUCCCUCCCAUAGGAGGAGAUCUUUGCUGAAGGAAAGGGAAAAGAUGCUGGCAGACAAACAACAGAUGUUCUUGGCAGGGAGGACCUGAAUCGGAUUGGUUUUAGAGAUUACUGGCCAGGUGGCCAUGGGGAGGCGGGGCCUGCUGCUCUGAGAGCCCGGAUCUGGCCUGGUUGGAAGAGAUGUCUUUCAACUUGGUUAAACACAAGGGCAACUGCCCCACCUCUGGAUAAGAAUAACAACCAAAGCCAAGCUUUGGAAUGUUAUUUGAAAUUCAAAAUAGAUUAAGCCUCAGGAAGAUAAAUCAACCAAAUGAGCACUGCUUUGCUUCCAACCCACUCCCCUUCCUUCCGGAGGCAGCCAGGCAGCCACACUCUCCUGCUGGGAGAGAAAAGACUGAAACUUGAAUGGAGGGAGCAGUUGUGCUUAUGGGAAGGGACCAUCCCUGAAGUGUUUAGACCGGUGCUUCUCUCACUGUAAUGGGCCCAGGAAUCCCCUGGGGACUGUGUUAAAAUGCAGCUUCCGAUCCAGGAGGUCUGGGGCGGGGCCUGAGAUCCUGCUUCUACAGCGAGCUCCCAGGUGGUGGUGAUGCUCAGGUCCCCACACCCCACCUUGAGCCAUAACAGCUUAGAGCGUGGAAUCUUUGGGACAGGAUGAGAGUUGGAUGAAGCUGCAAGCUGGCUCAUGGAAACCACCAAGAAGGCCAGCUCAUGGUUCAUCUCAGACAGGCUGCUGUGCUGGAGCCAGGGGGACGGACGGGCAUUCUCUGCCUGCACUGCCUGAGCUCCUCGGGCCACUCAGACCUGCUGCUGGGCAGAACUUGUGGAGAGCCCCCAGGGAAGGCCAAUUAGAGCCUCUGGGGGGGACCCCUGUCCAGUCACCACAGGUCAGGACACCCAGAAGCCCCUUCCCAGCAGCAGGAAGGAAAGCGUGUCUCAAAGACACAGUGGUGGAGGGGAGUGGAGGUCUUUAUCAGCCCAGGGAGGAAGCAUUCAUUUCCUGGGGUGCUGCAACAUGUGGCACAAACUGAGAGGCUUAAAACAAAGGGAAUAUAUCCUCUCACCGUUCUGGGGGCCAGAAAACUGAAAUAAAGUGUCAGAGGCCUGCUCUCUCUCCAGGGCCCCUGGGGGAAUGCCUAUCCUUGCCUUCUCCACUUCAAGUGGCUGCCACGCUCCUGUUUGCCCAGCCCCUACCACUUGCCAUCUGCCACGGCCAGGUUCCCUGGGGGUGACCCUGUUUUCAUCCUUGACACCCAUAACACCCUUACUGUCCUGUGUCUGAGAAUGAGUGACCACUGUUAGAAAUGAGGUGAGGGCAGGCAGAAGACAAAGGGAAUAUGAUGGCUAAAAACCUGCAUUUUGACAGAACCACUGUUUUUUGUGAUGCUCUUGAUUUUAUUUUAUUAUUUUAUUUUAUUGAGGUUUACAAUAUCAUUAUAAAGAUUUACAAUAUUAUAUAAGCUUCAGGUGUGCGAUGUAGUGAUUGACAAUUUUUAAAGCUUGUACUCUAUAAACUAUUAUAAUAUUGUUAGUAUAAAAUGUCUACAUUCUCUGUUAUUAUAAAAUAUUAUCUAUGGAUAGCACAUUGGACUUCUAUAAAAUACUAUCUAUAUUCCAUGUACUAUACAAUAUACCCAUAUAGCUUAUAUAGUAGUUUGUAGUUUAUAUAGCUUACAUAGUAGUUUGUACCUCUUAACUCUCUAACCCCCUUCCCACUGGUAACCACUAGUUUAUUCUCUAUAUCUGUGAGUCUGCUUCUUUUUUGUUAAAUUCACUAGUUUGCUAUAUUUUUUAGAUUCCACCAUAUAAAUAAUAUCAUACAAUAUUUGUUUUUCUGAUUUAUUUCACUAAGCAUAGUACCGUCCUGGUCCAUCCAUGUUGCUACAAAUGGAAAAUUUCAUUCCUUUUAUGGCUGAGUAGUAUUCCAUUGUAUAUCUAUGUACCACAUCUUCUUAAUCCUUUCAUCUGUUGAUAGGCAUUUGGACUGCUUUCAUAUCUUGGUUAUUGUAAAUAAUCCUGUUGUGAACAUUGGGGGUGCAUGUGUCUUUUCAAAUUAGUGUUUUUAUUUUCUUCAGAUAAAUACCCAG